UGCUCCAGCAGCUGGGGGGUGGUGGGGUGGGCAACAGCACUGGUCUGGCCUCUUUCUGGACAGCCACUGUGUCCUUCCCU
rnacentral:miRNA from 1 species